rnacentral:lncRNA from 1 species
GAGGGGCCUGCUGAUAGGCUGCGAAGGCGAUAGGCGUCUCAGACUUGAAGACGCCUCUCCAGCAGAACUCCCUCAUUGGUCGGCAAGAGAAAACAAAGCUGGGCUCUGAUUGGUGACAGCUCUGUAGCUCCUCCUCAUACCCGCAGUCCCCGCAAGUUCCACCCCUGCCCGCCCGGUUCGCUCGCCCUUGGUUCCCACUCCCAGGUGGCUGCAGACUGGAGUGUGUUUCAUGGACGAGCAACCUCCCUGAGGAGAACCCCGGAUACGCAGGUUCAUUCGCCAGAUGCGAGUUUUCUUAAGCCGCUGCGAUUCUCUGAUUUCAGUAUGAACUUGAGUCACCAGUAAAAUGAGCAUUCAUUCAUUAAGCCAAUCAUCAGGAAUGGAUCUAGGAAGAACCUACUGUUUACUAGAAAUAGGUUAGAUCUGUGGAUAUAACAAUGAAUAAGACAAGACUGGUGGAUCUAUAGAGAAACUAUUACUGCACAGGUGAUGGGGAAAUCAAGAGUACUAUGGGGCCAAGGAGACUGUCCUGCAGCAAAUGAGGAAUAAGCUGAAACAUCAGUAGGAGCCAUCCCAGAGAAAAGGGACAGGGUUCUAGAUCCAGAGAACAACAGAAGAGCAUUCAGCGCCUGCAAGGGAGCAGGGGAUCUAAUGCAAAGCCAUUGCAUAACCAGUCAACUUUCCCCACAUCACAAGAUUGCCUAGCCUGGAUGGCCCCAGAAUGUUGAAACAAAUGUCUAAUUAGUAACGACAUUCUGAAUGCUUGGGAGCUGAGCAAAAUAUGAGGAGAAGCAACCUGAUUUUUGUUUCAUAUUAUCAUCUCCUUUAUUCCAGCAACAAAAGACACUGAAAAUAGUAAAUGCCCACUUUCAACCAUGACAGCCCUUUUAGGAUAGUAACGGUGAGCAGUAUUAAUCCUAUUUGACCAGAACUAGGGCAGAAUUGAAGCCCCUGGAGUAGAGAUCUGUUCUAUUAGCCCCAGCCUUUCCGCCUGCUUCUUGGGAUGGCUAUCUUUACUUUAUCAGUUGAGCCUCCAGCAUUAGCAGAUACCUAUAAGGGAAGAGAUCCAGCCCUCACUAUGGAGGGCCAGAAAGAGAAAGCACCAGACAUUAGGAAAUGUCAAAGUAUCUCAGUACAUCCAGCUGAUUAGUGACAGAUAAGUCAAAAUUUGCAGCAACUAAAUAAAUCAAAAAGUAGAUUUUAAAA